CUCUCUGCAUUGGCGAGUGCUUAGCCCUCCCUCCCAGGGACUCAUAAGAGUGCCUCCUAAUUUAUGGUUUUAUAGCACCUCUAUGGAAAUGAUCCGACUGGAUUCUAACUACAACCCCACUGGUAGGCAGGACUCGUGGUAUUAUUUGCAUUCACUUGAGGAAGAAACAUACUUGCUCAUGAGAGACUUUUUCAAGACUGCGUGGAUAUUGAAUUACAGAGGUGACACUAGAGCCCAGAGCUCCUGACUCCAAGCUGCUUAUUGGUAAUAAGGUCCCACCUGUGUCACUGCUGCAUCGUUGUUUCCUUCCAUACCUACUUACUGGCUUUCUUAACUAGCUCCUUUACACUCUUAUCUUUCCCGUGAUGCUUUUUUCUUUAGCAGAUCCUAUCUUAGGGCACUUUUCUUUAGUUUACCCAGAUCUUCCUCCACCUUGCCUUUCUCCUUUUUCUACACCUUAACCCCUAUCAAGUCAUAUUGCUCUCUUUGGAGAAUCCCAGCAUACUAGGGUCUAACCCAUGGUUCUUAACAGGGGGCAGUUCAGUUUGUCUCUCAAGGGACAUUUGGCAAUGUCUCCUAGAGAUCAGUUUGAUUGUCACUGUUGGUGGUGCUACUGACACCUAGUGGGAAGGAGCCAGGUAUGGUGCUUAUUAUAGUGACAGGACAGCUCCCUGCAAUAAAGAAUUAUCCAGCCUCAAA